AACGAACGCUGACGGCGUGCUUAACACAUGCAAGUCGAAGGUAGUGGCGAACGGGUGAGUAACACGUGAGUAACCUGCCCUUUUCUUUGGGAUAAGCCUGGGAAACUGGGUCUAAUACUGGAUGGAUUGGGCUGGGCUCGGGGGAUAUUGGCUUGUUGGUGGGGUGAUGGCUUACCAAGGCUUUGACGGGUAGCCGGCCUGAGAGGGUGUUCGGCAACACUGGGACUGAGAUACGGCCCAGACUCCUACGGGAGGCAGCAGUGGGGGAUAUUGCACAAUGGACGAAAGUCUGAUGCAGCGACGUCGUGUGGGGGAUGAAGGCCUUCGGGUUGUAAAGUACUUUCAGCGGGGAGGCGUUACCCGCAGAAGAAGCACCGGCUAACUCCGUGCCAGCCGCCGCGGUAAUUC
rnacentral:rRNA from 1 species